rnacentral:rRNA from 1 species
UGAGCAGCCUGCCCUUGACUCUGGAAUAACAGUUGGAAACAGCUGCUAAUACCGGAUAUGACCUCUGACGACAUCGUCUGGAGGUGGAAAGCUCCGGCGGUCAAGGGAUGGGCUCGCGGCCUAUCAGCUUGUUGGUGAGGUAACGGCUCACCAAGGCUUCGACGGGUAGCCGGCCUGAGGAGGGCGACCGGCCACACUGGGACUGAGAUACGGCCCAGACCU